GAUCAUGGCUCAGGAUGAACGCUGGCGGCGUGCUUAACACAUGCAAGUCGAACGGGAAAUACUUUAUUGAAACUUCGGUCGAUUUAAUUUAUUUCUAGUGGCGGACGGGUGAGUAACGCGUGGGUAACCUGCCUUAUACCGGGGGAUAACAGCCAGAAAUGGCUGCUAAUACCGCAUAAGCGCACAGAACCGCAUGGUUCCGCGUGAAAAACUCCGGUGGUAUAAGAUGGACCCGCGUUGGAUUAGCUAGUUGG
rnacentral:rRNA from 1 species